rnacentral:rRNA from 1 species
CACGUAGGGCGCAAGCGUUGUCCGGAAUUAUUGGGCGUAAAGAGCUCGUAGGCGGUCUGUUGCGUCCGCUGUGAAGACUCGGGGCUUAACCCCGAGCCUGCAGUGGAUACGGGCAGACUAGAGGUAGGUAGGGGAGAAUGGAAUUCCCGGUGUAGCGGUGAAAUGCGCAGAUAUCAGGAGGAACACCAAUGGCGAAGGCAGCUCGCUGGGACGGUACUGACGCUGAGACGCGAAAGCGUGGGGAGCAAACAGG